rnacentral:rRNA from 1 species
UUGUAGUCUGCAACUCGACUACAUGAAGCUGGAAUCGCUAGUAAUCGUAGAUCAGCAUGCUACGGUGAAUACGUUCCCGGGUCUUGUACACACCGCCCGUCACACCACGAGAGUUUGUAACACCCGAAGCCGGUGGAGUAACCUUUUAGGAGCUAGCCGUCGAAGGUGGGACAAAUGAUUGGGGUGAAGUCGUAACAAGGUAGCCGUAUCGGAAGGUGCGGCUGGAUCACCUCCUUUCUAAGGA